GAGACCGGCGCACGGGUGCGUAACGCGUAUGCAAUCUACCUUUUACAGAGGGAUAGCCCAGAGAAAUUUGGAUUAAUACCUCAUAGUAUAGCAGUUUCGCAUGAAACCACUAUUAAAGUCACAACGGUAAAAGAUGAGCAUGCGUCCCAUUAGCUAGUUGGUAAGGUAACGGCUUACCAAGGCUACGAUGGGUAGGGGUCCUGAGAGGGAGAUCCCCCACACUGGUACUGAGACACGGACCAGACUCCUACGGGAGGCAGCAGUGAGGAAUAUUGGACAAUGGGCGCAAGCCUGAUCCAGCCAUGCCGCGUGCAGGAUGACGGUCCUAUGGAUUGUAAACUGCUUUUAUACAGGAAGAAACCCUGGUUCGUGAACCAGCUUGACGGUACUGUAAGAAUAAGGAUCGGCUAACUCCGUGCCAGCAGCCGCGGUAAUACGGAGGAUCCAAGCGUUAUCCGGAAUCAUUGGGUUUAAAGGGUCCGUAGGCGGUUUAAUAAGUCAGUGGUGAAAGCCCAUCGCUCAACGGUGGAACGGCCAUUGAUACUGUUAAACUUGAAUUAUUAGGAAGUAACUAGAAUAUGUAGUGUAGCGGUGAAAUGCUUAGAGAUUACAUGGAAUACCAAUUGCGAAGGCAGGUUACUACUAA
rnacentral:rRNA from 1 species